GCGUUUCUCUAGAUAACAAUGCUAAAUAUGCUUUACAUUCUAUUAAUUUAUUUAAUUAUUUUCAAAAUUUUUAAUUAAAAUUUUUAAUUUUAAUAUAAAAUCAUUUUUAAUAUUUUCUCAUUAAUAUAUAUAUAUAUAUAUUUGACAAUAAUUUAAUGGUAAUGAUAAAAAAAAAUUUUAUUUGAUGAUCAAUAGAAAAGCAAAUCCAUAACAAUUGAGUGACGGAGAAAUCAACUACAAUAUUCUUAGGGGUGGAGCCAAAGAAACCAAAGAAAAAUAAAAUGUAGAGUAAUAUAUACUUACCAUACCACUUGGCAAGCUCGUCGUUCGCAGGUGAAACGGCAGAAGGCUUGGGUUUGGGAGGUGGAGCAGCCUUCUUCCUA
rnacentral:misc_RNA from 1 species